AAACAUUCCAGGCGGGGAGAUACCAUGUUCACAAAGGUCGUUUUUCCAGAGCAAGUCUUAUCCACCGAACUCUGUAUGUGCUGAACUGUGCGAUUUACCAAAAAGCUAGAAAUUCAACUACAUAAUUUGUGGUAAUAGGGCACUAUAAUCAUGGUGUCCCUCA